rnacentral:rRNA from 1 species
GAUGAACGCUGGCGGCGUGCCUAAUACAUGCAAGUCGAGCGAACAGACGAGGAGCUUGCUCCUCUGACGUUAGCGGCGGACGGGUGAGUAACACGUGGAUAACCUACCUAUAAGACUGGGAUAACUUCGGGAAACCGGAGCUAAUACCGGAUAAUAUAUUGAACCGCAUGGUUCAAUAGUGAAAGACGGUUUUGCUGUCACUUAUAGAUGGAUCCGCGCCGCAUUAGCUAGUUGGUAAGGUAACGGCUUACCAAGGCAACGAUGCGUAGCCGACCUGAGAGGGUGAUCGGCCACACUGGAACUGAGACACGGUCCAGACUCCUACGGGAGGCAGCAGUAGGGAAUAUUCCGCAAUGGGCGAAAGCCUGACGGAGAAACGCCGCGUGAGUGAUGAAGGUCUUCGGAUCGUAAAACUCUGUUAUUAGGGAAGAACAAAUGUGUAAGUAACUAGGCACGUCUUGACGGUACCUAAUCAGAAAGCCACGGCUAACCACGUG